rnacentral:rRNA from 1 species
UACGUAGGGACCGAGCGUUGUCCGGAUUCAUUGGGCGUAAAGAGCUCGUAGGCGGCUGUUCAAGUCGAACGUGAAAACUCGGAGCUCAACUCCGAGCCUGCGUUCGAUACUGGACGGCUAGAGUCUGGUAGGGGGAUCUGGAAUUCCUGGUGUAGCGGUGGAAUGCGCAGAUAUCAGGAGGAACACCUGCGGCGAAGGCGGGUUGCUGGGCCGACACUGACGCUGAGGCGCGAAAGCCAGGGGAGCGAACGGG